rnacentral:lncRNA from 1 species
ACUGGGAAUAAACGGUGUCCCGUUUUAAGUACUCCACCAUCCCAUAUACAUGGGAGAUUUCUGUUAACAUUAAGUGGGUCCAGCUUAACUGUCAUGUGGGAACACAGUGGCACAUUUUGAUAAUGACAUUCAAUCGCUAGAAGUGUGCUCCACAUCUCAUCCAGAUUUCUAGGUCUGCUAUUUAACUGGAAGCAUAGACGUCUCAGGUUCUUUGUUACUCUAAGGUAAAACCAUCUAGAGUGGUUUCCCCCUUGCAGUUAUGUUACCAUUCUUAUAACAUUGUAUGUUAAUAUAAAUAUAUUUGCAUAAUAUGCAUACCUACAUAUAUUACCAAGAUUUUGUUUCUUCUGCUUGCUAUCAUGGCAGCAUGCAACGUCAUAUUUUUCAUUCUGUGAUGUAACUAUUUUCUGUUAUCUAGAAGUUAGGAUUGAAUCUAAAAUGUUUCUACUGUUCACUUUUGGAAACUUAAAAAUCUUCACAGCCUUUAUUUAUGUACUGACAUAUCUCAUAAGCACACCCAGCUCCUCCUAGACUGACUAGAAUUCUGCAGGAACACUUCCAGUCUACACACCACACAACAACCCAUGACCGUUUCUGAGGCAAGGAGAGCAACCUGACACAAAUAGUCUCUUUUGGUUCCUUCUGAUCCACAGCCUCAUCAGGAUUUGGACUUUUUAAAGCUCGUAGAAACAAGACAAGGUGCACCGGUUUCAUAGAUGCAACCUUAACUUAGUAUUUAGAUGAGCUCUUUCUAAAGAAAAACAAAGAUGAUAUAUUUUUUGUAAACUAUUUCUAUCACAGGCAUCCAUAAACCGACUGCAGUUAUGUAAACGGGUGUCACAGCGAAGCAUUUGGAAGACAGGAUAAAAAACGACAAGCAGUAAAGAACUGCUAAAUUAAUAACCCCCAAAUCCCACACACGCGGCACCUUCAAGUCUGGCGCCAUCGUUUUUCCACAUAGGCAGGCAGCACCACCACCCUCCCCAGGAGGCAUGUGGACAGUCACCAUGGACUGACACUACUUGAUUUUUCGGUGGCCAUUGCAAUCUCUAAUAUGUGGGAGUCUGACUGUUCAAAACCUAAUAUUAAAUAAAACCUAAAUCCACAAAAUCCGUGUGAGGGACAGUUACUGAUUUUUAUACCCUUUGCCUCCCCCAUUCUUAUCUGCUAAGUCUUCUUUACAUCACUGCUCCUUUGUUUUAUUUUCUAUCUGGAGAUGAGCCUGUGAAUUUUGCCAUUUGGCUUUUCUCUGGAGUUUUUUUCCCCCCAUGGGUAACAGUGGGAGGAGACAAAAAGUUAGAUUUAAAAAAAAAUUCUGUAAGUGGCCUUAUCAUUGUAACAUGUUAAAAGAAUACAAAUGUUUGCAAAGACCUUAUCCCUUUCAAUAAUUCAGGUAUCUCUCUCUGUAUCCUGUAACUCAAGGUGUAAGUGCCACAGGUAGACAAGGAACUCCAAAAUGCAAGCAGUGUGGCAGAAACAGUCACUGGCUGAUAAUUUAUUAUACUCAGAACUGUGACUUGUUUUUCUGGGGAAGUGACUCAGAGCUUUUUUGAUGCAUAGUUGAGAUACCCACAUAUCAAGGCAGAGACCCCGCAGGGCUCAGAAGAGCAGCAGUGCACUCCCGGGGAAUCUCUGGAUAAAAAUUUGCAUGGUAUAGUCAUAAUAGCUUUUGAGCUUUUUAUAUGCAUUUGGCACCAAGACUGGGAUCCACAACUUUAUAGACACUGUAAUGAAGUUACCAUAGUAGCUAGACUCUAAGUAAUAUUUGUAAUUACACACACAUACAUACAUACAUACAUACAUACAUACACAUACACACACAUACACAAAUACAUACAUGUAUUCUGUAAAAAAAAAAUCCUUUCUAAGAUCCUUGGGUAUGUGUUUGCUUUAUUCC